CAGAUCUGCAUGGUGACCAGGCGGCCGUCCACCUCCAGGUUCUUGUUGAGGAACUCCACACCGAUGGUGUGGAAGAGGUCCUGUUACCCUAACACAUUCCCCCCUCUGAAAAAUUUGGAACAUACCACAAGUCACAUGUUCAACAGGAAGUUACAUCAGCUGGAUUUUCUGAAGGCCAUGGGAAGACCAAAACGAGCCAAUCCACCACUAAGUGCUGUUUCUCUCUCAGUGAGAGAGAAAAGCGCAGAUGUCGCAGAAAGUGGAGGGAGACUUACCAUAGGAUCAAGGACAGGAAAGAAGCUCUACAACACCUCAUCACCCCUCCACACAGCCCCCAGCUAUCCCCAGUGCAAGCUAUAGAUCCACAGCCAAGCACUUCCAGUCAACAUAAUCACGGGCGGAGAAGAAGCCGAAAAACAUUAAAGAAGCUUCAGAAACAAAUUCAAGAACUGCAGGUUCUGUUGAAGAAACAAACCCAAAAAAAAGAAAAGUAUAAGAAACAAGUCCAGCGCAUGAAAAAGAAUAAUGCAUCUCUGCCCACAAAAGUAAAAAGACAGAUGAGACAGCUUCCACGUGCGGCCAUUCAGAAGACCCUUUUGUUUCACGAGGCUCUGGUGGAGGACAUCCGAAACAAAUACAAAAAAGCACAGGGGGAGAGGGAAAGGCAAAUAAUUUCAAAAAUAAUAACAGGAAAAGUUCUGAAAAAGUACAGGCUGCAACACUUGGCUCAAAAUUUAUUGGGCUUUUCAAAGAAAAGAUGGAAGAAUGAGAAGAAUGGGAAGGUUAACUACACCUACCAACAGAAGCGGAACAACAGGGUUGCAGACAGUUUGAUAAGCAGAGUGAG